rnacentral:rRNA from 1 species
CAUGCGAGUCGAGAGACGUAAGGUCUCGGCAGACCGCUCAGUAACACGUGGAUAACAUGCCCUAAGGUGGGGGAUAAUCUCGGGAAACUGAGGAUAAUACCCCAUAGGUCUAGCAUGCUGGAAUGCUACUAGGCCGAAAACUCCGGUGCCUUAGGAUUGGUCUGCGGUCUAUCAGGCAGUAGUGGGUGUAAUGGACCCACUAGCCCGUGACGGAUAUGGGCCUUGAGAGAGGGAGCCCAGAGAUGGACUCUGAGACACGAGUCCAGGCCCUACGGGGCGCAGCAGGCGCGAAAACUGCACAAUGGGGGAAACCCCGACGAGGGAAUUCCAAGUGCCAGCACUUUGUGUUGGCUGUUCUUCUGUCUAAAAACAGGAGAAGUAAGGGCGGUAAGACGGGUGCCAGCCGCCGCGGUAAUACCCGCGCCCCAAGUGGUGGUCGAUAUUAUUGAGCCUAAAACGUCCGUAGCCGGUCUUCUAAAUCCUUGGGUAAAUCGGGCAGCUCAACUGUCCGAAUUCCGGGGAGACUGGGAGACUUGGGACCGGGAGAGGUCAGAGGUACGUUCUGGGGUAGGGGUAAAAUCCUGUAAUCCUCGGGGGACCACCGGUGGCGAAGGCGUCUGACUAGAACGGAUCCGACGGUGAGGGACGAAGCCCUGGGGCGCAAACGGGAUUAGAUACCCCGGUAGUCCAGGGUGUAAACGCUGCGGGCUUGGUGUUGGGGGUCCUUAGUGGGCGCCCAGUGCCGGAGAGAAGUUGUUAAGCCUGCUGCUUGGGGAGUAUGUCCGCAAGGAUGAAACUUAAAGGAAUUGGCGGGGGAGCACCGCAACGGGAGGAGCGUGCGGUU